AGACCCCCAAAAGAGGCUGCAGAUUCUUAGUGGACAGCUCUCAUAUCCCCUCCAGGGAAAAUGAUGAAAAAUGUCUUCAGAAAAAUAGCUUUAUGAAGGCAAGAGGACUUUUUGCACCUGCAAGACAUGUCUGAAAGCUCCUCAGGUCAAAACACAAGUAGUCAAGAGAUUUGUCCAUCUAAUUCAUCAUACUACUCUGAUCCAAGUGAGACCCACACUGGGUCAGCUCCAUCAAGGAGAAGAACAUUCCACCCACGUUUGGAUUCUGGAAUAUCAUCCUUGCUUCCAUCAGAUUCUUGUAAGUACCUCACUUGGCACAAGGUAGACAUGACGUUCAAGGAAGUCAACUGCGUUGCCCAAGAGUAAGAGAAGGUAAAAGAAUAAAUGUGUGCCUUUUUCGUGUACAUCCUCUGAAUAGAAUUUUUUGUGGAUUAAAAGACAUUACUUGAAGAAAAAAAAAAGACACCAUUUGGAGGAAUCUCUGAAGAAGAGCAACUUUUCAGACAGGUAGAGUGUGCCUUGCUCCCAAGGAAAAGAGUUCUUGAAAAAAACAAAUGGGAAACAUGGCUACAAGAAAACUGGGAAGACUGCAAGAAUUUGAACAUUUCAUUUCAGGGUUUGGGGGAUCCUUACCAAGUUGAAAAUUUUAACAGAAUUCUUAGAAGACUAAUUCGAGUUGAAACCCUCUGGUUAGUGGAUAAUUCACUGGUGGACUUAAGUGCCAUAAGAUUGCCAAGAGUAUUCUCCUGUUUGCCAAACUUAAAAAUGCUGGAUGGAAUCUUGAAGCUACCAGAAGAUUGCUUAUCACCAGAAACCAAUAUUUUUUCAAAAAUAUGCCUUGUAUCCUAAUGCAGUCUGUAUAGAAAGAAAGCAAUCAUCAUUGUUGCUAAAAGCUAAUAAACACAGGACAUGCAUGAUUAAAUAUUGCAGUUUAUUUUAUAUCUUUUUGCUUUUCUAAAUCAAGGCAAAAACAUGCUAACUGACAAGAAAAUCAUGGGUUUUAUACAAGGAUAACAAGUGCUGGGUUGCUUAGCUAUGAGGAAGGCUAGGCUCACUGCAUACCAGAAGAUGUACAGCGUUGGAGAAUUCAGGGAUUUUUAUCAACAAUCAAACUAUAUUUGUGGAAAUUUUGUGCAUAAGUGCCAAAGAUGGCUGACAUCGGACCACAUUCUAUUUAACUCAACUGAAUGACACCAAGCUCUCAUCCUAAAACUUAUAGUUACAUCCACCCUUCUGAAAUAUUUAAUUAUUCUCCAAUACACUGGAGGUAAUAGGUAUAAAAAGAAUGAGCAUGUGCAACUUAGUAUCUCAUAUCUAAUUUUGUGUCCCAAGUUCAUUCUUCCCCUGAAUGUCCCAUGUCUACCAGGUGCAGGAUUAUCUGGAUGGGUCAGUUCAAAACAAUUUCAGGGAAUAAAUUGUGUAGGGGACUCAAUUUUCUGAGACAGAAACAUAAUGUGAAUAACUCCUUUGUUAGAAAAUAAUUUCAGUGACAGAAAGCCUUUCAGUUCAUAAAGAAAACUUACAUAUCAACAAGCCUAGCUCCUCACUAGUCCCAGUGAAUGCUUACAUCAAUCAGCUCUACAAUAUCCAGUAAAGGACUUUCCAAUUCGCCUUUGAAUAAACUGAGGUAUUGGAAACAUCUAAGAAAAUGGUUUUUAAUUCUUCCUAAUCUUCAGGGAGUUCUUCCUUAUAUUGAGCUGAUAUCUGCCCUCUGUAACUUUCAACUAAUUAUUCAAAUCUCUCAAGUGAUUAUAAUUAAUUCCAUCUUAUAAGGAAUUUUUCUCAGCUUCCAGCCUCUUGAAAAUACUCUGAUAUUUUCUCUAAUAUUCAAGUGGAAAUGUAAAUGGGUAACGUAAGAGUCUGUGGGGUUAGGAGGGUGGAGGAAAGGUAAGGGAAAGCUAAUGAGAAAUAACCAAAGCAAGAAAAAGAAUUUUAUUUUCUUCAAGUUCUUUGUACAUCCAAAGUGGAAGAUUCCUAAAAUAAAUUCCCCAUACCACAUUUUAAAAAUUAGGUUAGCAAGCUUACUUUUUAAUUUAUUUAGAAGCCAACUACUUCCAUUUAUUAUUUCUUUCCAGAAUAGAACAAUUAUCACUAAUUGUUUGUCAUUAUAAUGCCAAACUAUGUUAAUAGAUGCCUAUUUUUUUAAAGGCUAAUUGCAAUCAUGAAACCAAAUAUCUAAUUAGUUUUAGAGCUUUGGACCACAUGCAUCAAUAUUUGAAUCAUUCAGGUGUAUAUUUGCUUUCUGCUUUUUUGUCUCUUCAAAAGAAGUAUUAUAUGCAUUCUGUUUAUAAUUUCUAAAUGGUCAUUUCAAAACUGAUUAUACGAGUUUAUACAAAUCAUACUGAAAUUUGUUGCUUAAAAAAUCUUCAUUUUUCUCUAAGCUCUCAGUGUCCUUGAGCUAUAUAUAUUUUAUGGCAAUUUUUACUUAAUAGUUUGUAUGCUAGUUAUUUUUGACAAUGACUACUAAAAUGCAAGUUUCUUCAAGGGCAGAUUCACCUUAGUUCUUCUUUAUACCCCUCAAAAACCUCAGGGUUAUUCUCAAUAAGUAUUGAGUAGGUGAGUGAACUUUGGAUGUAUACUCCUUGAAAUUAUAUUUCUGGAGCUGGAAAACUUUAAAAAAAUGUAUGUCAUGAGUCUAAAGAAAUAAACAUUAUAUGGCUGAAAAAAUACUUUGUGAA
rnacentral:lncRNA from 1 species